rnacentral:sRNA from 1 species
CGGAAUUGACAGCAGCCUUGUUGCAAG